GAGUGAACGCUGGCGGUAGGCCUACCACAUGCAAGUCGAACGGCAGCACAGUAAGAGCUUGCUCUUACGGGUGGCGAGUGGCGGACGGGUGAGGAAUACAUCGGAAUCUACUUUUUCGUGGGGGAUAACGUAGGGAAACUUACGCUAAUACCGCAUACGACCUACGGGUGAAAGCAGGGGAUCUUCGGACCUUGCGCGAUUGAAUGAGCCGAUGUCGGAUUAGCUAGUUGGCGGGGUAAAGGCCCACCAAGGCGACGAUCCGUAGCUGGUCUGAGAGGAUGAUCAGCCACACUGGAACUGAGACACGGUCCAGACUCCUACGGGAGGCAGCAGUGGGGAAUAUUGGACAAUGGGCGCAAGCCUGAUCCAGCCAUACCGCGUGGGUGAAGAAGGCCUUCGGGUUUUAAAGCCCUUUUGUUGGGAAAGAAAAGCAGCAGGUUAAUACCCCGCUGUUCUGACGGUACCCAAAGAAUAAGCACCGGCUAACUUCGUG
rnacentral:rRNA from 1 species